rnacentral:rRNA from 1 species
GCCCUACAACAACAAACAAGUUUGACCUCAAAUCAGGUAGGAUUACCCGCUGAACUUAAGCAUAUCAAUAAGCGGAGGAAAAGAAACCAACAGGGAUUGCCUUAGUAACGGCGAGUGAAGCGGCAAUAGCUCAAAUUUGAAAUCUGGCACUUUCAGUGUCCGAGUUGUAAUUUGAAGAAGGUAUCUUUGGUGUUGGCCCUUGUCUAUGUUCCUUGGAACAGGACGUCACAGAGGGUGAGAAUCCCGUGCGAUGGGGUGUCCAAUGCCGUGUAAAGUUCCUUCGACGAGUCGAGUUGUUUGGGAAUGCAGCUCUAAGUGGGUGGUAAAUUCCAUCUAAAGCUAAAUAUUGGCGAGAGACCGAUAGCGAACAAGUACUGUGAAGGAAAGAUGAAAAGAACUUUGAAAAGAGAGUGAAAAAGUACGUGAAAUUGUUGAAAGGGAAGGGCUUAAGAUCAGACUUGGCUUUUUGCCGGGCCAGCAUCGGUUUGGAUGGUAGGAUAAUAGCAUUGGAAUGUGGCUCUACUUCGGUUGAGUGUUAUAGCCUUUGUUGAUACUGCCUGUCUAGACCGAGGACUGCGUCUUUGACUAGAUGCUGCAG